rnacentral:rRNA from 1 species
GACGAACGCUGGCGGCGUGCUUAACACAUGCAAGUCGAACGAUGAAGCUGGAGCUUGCUCCAGUGGAUUAGUGGCGAACGGGUGAGUAACACGUGAGCAAUCUGCCCUUGACUCUGGGAUAACUGCGGGAAACUGUAGCUAAUACCGGAUACGACACCUUGGGGCAUCCCGGGGUGUGGAAAGAAUUUCGGUCAAGGAUGAGCUCGCGGCCUAUCAGCUUGUUGGUGAGGUAAAGGCUCACCAAGGCGACGCCGGGUAGCCGGCCUGAGAGGGUAACCGGCCACACUGGAACUGAGACACGGUCCAGACUCCUACGGGAGGCAGCAGUGGGGAAUAUUGCACAAUGGGCGAAAGCCUGAUGCAGCAACGCCGCGUGAGGGAUGACGGCCUUCGGGUUGUAAACCUCUUUUGGCAGGGAAGAAGCGAAAGUGACGGUACCUGCAGAAAAAGCACCGGCUAACUACGUGCCAGCCGCCGCCGUAA